UUUCGGCGCCGGGUGCAAGGGGAUUUCUCCUCAAAGCUUGCACACCGUCUCGGCAAGCAGCCAGAUAUUUAUUACACCAAAGCAUACAUAUUCAUAGGGUUACACAAUACAAAAUAUACAUAUGUAUAAGUUGGGGCGGGGUUAGUUCAAAAGCUUGUGUCAGCAGUUCUAAAAUGUUUAUGUCAUCUUGCGCAGGCUCAGAUCUGUCUCUGGUGGUCGUUUACUUCUUCAGGGGUCUUUUCUUCUUCUUCUGUUCUCUAGAUGAACUUUAGUCAUUUACACAUGCUCUCUUCUUACUUGGUGAUUUCAGCGGUUUUUAACAAGUCCUAGCCAGUUCUGUGGCCGCGCUGAGGAUGCGGUUGUCCAUUCCUCCCAUGGGGAUGCCGCUGACUGUGCCCGCCUCAGGCUUGCGUGGGCUGUCUCUGCCUGGCCUCGCACUCCUCCUGGCGUGGGAGCAAAAAGGGACAGGCGGAGCACUUACUGGCUGUGGACAGGAGCUGCUGCGGCUGAAGCUGGAGGGGCCAGAGAAAGGUAAAGCUGCUGAAGAAUAAAAUAAAGGGG